GAUGAACGCUGGCGGCGUGCCUAAUACAUGCAAGUCGAGCGAACAGACGAUGAGCUUGUUCCUCUGACGUUGGCGGCUGACGGGUGAGUAACGCGUGGAUCAGCUACCUAUUAUACUUGGAGAACUUCGGGAAACAGGAGCUGAUACUGGAGAAUAUAUUCAACCGCAUGGAUCAAUAGUUAAAGACGGUUUUGCUGUCACUUAUAGACGGAUCCGCGCCGUAUUAGCUAGUUGGUAAGGUAACGGCUUACCAAGGCAACGAUGCGUAGCCGACCUGAGAGGGUGAUCGGCCACACUGGAACUGAGACACGGUCCAGACUCCUACGGGAGGCAGCAGUAGGGAAUAUUCCACAAUGGGCGAAAGCCUGACGGAGCAACGCCGCGUGAGUGAUGAAGGUCUUCGGAUCGUAAAACUCUGUUAUUAGGGAAGAACAACUGUAUAAGUAACUAUGCACGUCUUGACGGUACCUAAUCAGAAAGCCACGGCUAACUACGUG
rnacentral:rRNA from 1 species